rnacentral:rRNA from 1 species
AGAGUUUGAUCCUGGCUCAGAUUGAACGCUGGCGGCAUGCCUUACACAUGCAAGUCGAACGGCAGCACGAGAGCUUGCUCUUGGUGGCGAGUGGCGAACGGGUGAGUAAUAUAUCGGAACGUACCCUAGAGUGGGGGAUAACGUAGCGAAAGUUACGCUAAUACCGCAUACGAUCUACGGAUGAAAGUGGGGGAUCGCAAGACCUCAUGCUCAUGGAGCGGCCGAUAUCUGAUUAGCUAGUUGGUGGGGUAAAAGCUCACCAAGGCGACGAUCAGUAGCUGGUCUGAGAGGACGACCAGCCACACUGGAACUGAGACACGGUCCAGACUCCUACGGGAGGCAGCAGUGGGGAAUUUUGGACAAUGGGCGCAAGCCUGAUCCAGCAAUGCCGCGUGAGUGAAGAAGGCCUUCGGGUUGUAAAGCUCUUUUGUCAGGGAAGAAACGGUGGACUCUAAUACAGAUCACUAAUGACGGUACCUGAAGAAUAAGCACCGGCUAACUACGUGCCAGCAGCCGCGGUAAUACGUAGGGUGCAAGCGUUAAUCGGAAUUACUGGGCGUAAAGCGUGCGCAGGCGGUUGUGCAAGACAGAUGUGAAAUCCCCGGGCUCAACCUGGGAAUUGCAUUUGUGACUGCACGGCUAGAGUGUGUCAGAGGGGGGUAGAAUUCCACGUGUAGCAGUGAAAUGCGUAGAGAUGUGGAGGAAUACUGAUGGCGAGGGCAGCCCCCUGGGAUAACACUGACGCUCAUGCACGAAAGCGUGGGGAGCAAACAGGAUUAGAUACCCUGGUAGUCCACGCCCUAAACGAUGUCUACUAGUUGUCGGGUCUUAAUUGACUUGGUAACGCAGCUAACGCGUGAAGUAGACCGCCUGGGGAGUACGGUCGCAAGAUUAAAACUCAAAGGAAUUGACGGGGACCCGCACAAGCGGUGGAUGAUGUGGAUUAAUUCGAUGCAACGCGAAAAACCUUACCUACCCUUGACAUGUCUGGAAUCCUUGAGAGAUCAGGGAGUGCUCGAAAGAGAAUCAGAACACAGGUGCUGCAUGGCUGCCGUCAGCUCGUGUCGUGAGAUGUUGGGUUAAGUCCCGCAACGAGCGCAACCCUUGUCAUUAGUUGCUACGAAAGGGCACUCUAAUGAGACUGCCGGUGACAAACCGGAGGAAGGUGGGGAUGACGUCAAGUCCUCAUGGCCCUUAUGGGUAGGGCUUCACACGUCAUACAAUGGUACAUACAGAGGGCCGCCAACCCGCGAGGGGGAGCUAAUCCCAGAAAGUGUAUCGUAGUCCGGAUUGUAGUCUGCAACUCGACUACAUGAAGUUGGAAUCGCUAGUAAUCGCGGAUCAGCAUGUCGCGGUGAAUACGUUCCCGGGUCUUGUACACACCGCCCGUCACACCAUGGGAGCGGGUUUCACCAGAAGUGGGUAGCCUAACCGCAAGGAGGGCGCUCACCACGGUGGGAUUCGUGACUGGGGUGAAGUCGUAACAAGGUA